rnacentral:rRNA from 1 species
UGGGGAAUCUUGCACAAUGGGCGCAAGCCUGAUGCAGCCAUGCCGCGUGUAUGAAGAAGGCCUUCGGGUUGUAAAGUACUUUCAGCGGGGAGGAAGGGAGUAAAGUUAAUACCUUUGCCCAUUGACGUUACCCGCAGAAGAAGCACCGGCUAACUCCGUGCCAGCAGCCGCGGUAAUACGGAGGGUGCAAGCGUUAAUCGGAAUUACUGGGCGUAAAGCGCACGCAGGCGGUUUGUUAAGUCAGAUGUGAAAUCCCCGGGCUCAACCUGGGAACUGCAUCGGAUACUGGCAAGCUUGAGUCUCGUAGAGGGGGGUAGAAGUCCAGGUGUAGCGGUGAAAUGCGUAGAGAUCUGGAGGAAUACCGGUGGCGAAGGCGGCCCCCUGGACGAAGACUGACGCUCAGGUGCGAAAGCGUGGGGAGCAAACAGG